CCGCUGGAUGAGGAGGAGCUGGUGUCGUACAUCCUCGCCGGGCUGGACUUCGAUUACAACCCGGUGGUCUCGUCGGUGGUGGCACGCGUCGAGCCGAUUACUGUGAGUGAGCUCUAUGCUCAGGUUAACGGUUUCGAGC
rfam:Leersia perrieri chromosome 8, whole genome shotgun sequence.